rnacentral:lncRNA from 1 species
AACAAUUGGUGGCAAGUUACAGUUAUUCACUUCUUUCGGGGGUCAGAAAGACUCACAGAGGCAUUUCAGCCUCCCCCUAGCUACAAAUCUAGCUUCCACACCAGCAACGGAUUUCAAACCUGAGACCUAGUGUUUAUAGCCCCAAUGGAAUGAGGAAAAAAAAAUCUAUAGUCUUAUUUAAUUCAUUGAAGUUGCUGCAAAAUGUCAAUUUGUGAAUGAAAUGGUAGAUCGACUUGUUGAGCUAUUUUAAUCCGUCAAGUAGAGCAGCAAGAUAUAAUAUACAAUAUACAAAAAAGUCAGAAAUAAGAGUUGUAUAUGUGCAUAAACAUUAGAUUUUUUUUAAAAUUUAUUAGUGUUACUAUUAUAUAUUUGGUACGUAUCCAAAUUUCCAAAUUGUUUACAUGUUUCAAGUUCUAAAUUUAGACGUUCAAGUGUAAAAUGAAUGUUUUUAAUUUAUUUACAAGUUCUUGAAAUGUGCAGGGUAAUUUCUUUAAAAUGCCAAUAACAUCUCUCAAAAAACAAGAAAAAACUAAGGAGAAAGAAAGGUUGAUAAUCCCCAAUAGUUUGGUGCAAACAGAAAUCGAGUUUUCAAUUAGUUAAGUUUUGAGAAAGAAAUAUGAACAUGCAUUUCAAUGAUUUCAUACAAGCUAGGUCAAUUGAUCAGCUUCUUCUUCUUUGAUUUGUGACGUUCAACCCUGCUCUUGUCGCUACACAUCACACGCACCUAAUACGAUUUAUAUAUAUAAGCAUCGUGGGCAAUAAUUCAACACAUUAACUUAAUCAUAUAUAUUGUAAGUUGUUAUUUUAAAGCAUCAACAUGAAAUUAGGGUUACAUGCGAUUCACACAGACAAAUGAAUAUACAUGAACUUACAUCAAUCAAUAUUCUACAAAAGACUUGCUUGUAGAUGUCGCGGUGAAGGAAGAAUGUGAAGUAGUCUUCUACUCUCAUCACACUAAAUUAUUUUCUGCUAUAUGAAUAGGGUUUUGCAUGUUAGAAUUGUGUAGUGCGAGAGCAUGGACUGCAUCUUUAUAUGCAUUUAGGGUUUCUCUCGAUCCCACCUAUUAUUGGAAAGCGAUAUUUACCCUAAUCACAGCCAAAUCAUAUUAAGUUUCAUCAUGACUCCAUGAUUCUUACUUCAUUAAGACUACCUAUAAAUUAGUUGCAUAGUCAAGACUCCAUGAUUCUUACUUCAUUAAGACUACCAGAUCGCUCAAGUAACAAGUAACUUGGUAUACAAGUUACUUGAGACUCAAGUAAUUCAAACGGUAGUUCAUUGUCAUUCAUAUAGGUACCGUUUAGUAUGUGGGAUGGGACGAAACGCAGUGCGACGGAACACUCUUGUCCCAUGUUUGGUGCUCCAAAGACAGUGGGACGUGCUGUCCCACGAAACGAAAUUUGGUUAAAUUUCCGUUCCACCUCCCCCCUGGAACAACUCGUUCCACCUUGUGGAACACAAAAUUAUAAAAUUUUAGAACAAAAAUACCCCUUAUCUUUUUCAAUAUUUACACCAUCUAAAUCAUAAAACAAACCCUAAAAUUCUAUCAUCUUCUUUCCAUCUUCACCCACCAAGCUUCACCCAUAAAAGCUUUACCAACAAAAACUUCACCCAC